GUAGUCUCGCACAGAUGCAUAUCAAUAAGCGGAGGAAAAGAAACUAACAAGGAUUCCCCUAGUAACGGCGAGUGAAGCGGGAAGAGCUCAAAUUUGAAAGUCUUAAAGGGUUUCCCUUUACGAAUUGUAGUUUAAAGAAGUGUUUUCUGUUGAGGUUUUGGUAAAAGUUCUUUGGAAUAGGACAUCAUAGAGGGUGAGAAUCCCGUAUUUGACCUUUACUUUCAUCUUUGUGAUACACUUUCAAAGAGUCGGAUUGUUUGGGAAUGCAGUCCAAAAUGAGUGGUAAAUUUCAUCUAAAGCUAAAUAUUGGCGAGAGACCGGAUAGCGAACAAGUACCGUGAGGGAAAGAUGAAAAGAACUUUGAAAAGAGAGUUAAACAGUACGUGAAAUUGUCAAAAGGGAAGCGUUUGACACCAGUGUUGUUUUUCUGGAAAUCAAUUAAAGAACUGUUUAUGCUAAGUUGUUUAGACUUUAUCAGCUAUCUGCUUAGUUUUGAGCUUUUCUUUAAUGCACUUUUCAGUUAACAAGUCAACAUCAAUUUCUUUUGCUGUAAAAAAGCUUGAGGAAGGUGGCUUGAGAUUCGUCUUAAGUGUUUAUAGCCUCUUGCCUAUGCAGUCGGAGAGAUUGAGGUCUGCAGCGUAGAUCCUUCGGGGCUAAAUGCAUUUGUGCUAAGUUAUAGCAUUUUAUAGACAACUUGUUGACUAUGAUUUGUCUUGUAGCUUACUCGCCUAUGUUAUUUUACCUACGCUUAGGAUGUUGACACAUGAGAUAUACGC
rnacentral:rRNA from 1 species